CGAAAGCCUGACGGAGCAAUACCGCGUGAGGGAGGAAGGCUCUUGGGUUGUAAACCUCUUUUCUCAGGGAAGAACAAAAUGACGGUAUCUGAGGAAUCAGCAUCGGCUAACUCCGUGCCAGCAGCCGCGGUAAUACGGAGGAUGCAAGCGUUAACCGGAAUGAUUGGGCGUAAAGCGUCCGCAGGUGGCAUUGAAAGUCUGCUGUCAAAGAGUCUGGCUCAACCAGAUAAAGGCAGUGGAAACUACAAAGCUAGAGUACGUUCGGGGCAGAGGGAAUUCCUGGUGUAGCGGUGAAAUGCGUAGAGAUCAGGAAGAACACCGGUGGCGAAAGCGCUCUGCUAGGCCGUAACUGACACUGAGGGACGAAAGCUAGGGGAGCGAAUGGGAUUAGAUACCCCAGUAGUCCUAGCCGUAAACGAUGGAUACUAGGUGUUGCUUGUAUCGACCCGAGCAGUACCGUAGCUAACGCGUUAAGUAUCCCGCCUGGGGAGUACGCAGGCAACUGUGAAACUCAAAGGAAUAGACGGGGGCCCGCACAAGCGGUGGAGUAUGUGGUUUAAUUCGAUGCAACGCGAAGAACCUUACCAGGGCUUGACAUGUCGCGAAUCCUUGUGAAAGCAGGGAGUGCCUUCGGGAGCGCGAACACAGGUGGUGCACGGCUGUCGUCAGCUCGUGUCGUGAGAUGUUGGGUUAAGUCCCGCAACGAGCGCAACCCUCGUUUUUAGUUGCCAUCAUCAAGUUGGGCACUCUAGAGAGACUGCCGGUGACAAACCGGAGGAAGGUGGGGAUGACGUCAAGUCAGCAUGCCCCUUACGUCCUGGGCUACACACGUACUACAAUGCUACGAACAGAGGGCAGCUAACCAGCGAUGGCAAGCUAAUCCCGGAAAUCGUAGCUCAGUUCAGAUCGCAGGCUGCAACUCGCCUGCGUGAAGUUGGAAUCGCUAGUAAUUGCAGGUCAGCAUACUGCAGUGAAUUCGUUCCCGGGCCUUGUACACACCGCCCGUCACACCAUGGAAGCUGGUAGUGCCCGAAGUCAUUACCCCAACCUUUCGGGGAGGGGGAUGCCUGAGGCAGGA
rnacentral:rRNA from 1 species